rnacentral:rRNA from 1 species
GUCCACGCCGUAAACGAUCACUACUAACCGUCGGGGGUUUGACCCUCUCGGUGGUAAAGCUAACGCGUUAAGUAGUGCGCCUGGGGAGUACGGUCGCAAGACUAAAACUCAAAGGAAUUGACGGGGGCCCGCACAAGCGGUGGAUUAUGUGGUUUAAUUCGAAGCAACGCGCAAAACCUUACCUGGGCUUGAAAUCCUGCGAACUAAACAGAGAUGUUAUGGUGCCCUUCGGGGAACGCAGUG